GAUGAAGAACGUAGCGAAAUGCGAUACGUAAUGUGAAUUGCAGAAUUCAGUGAAUCAUCGAGUCUUUGAACGCACAUUGCGCCCCCUGGUAUUCCGGGGGGCAUGCCUGUCCGAGCGUCAUUGCUGCCCUCAAGCACGGCUUGUGUGUUGGGCCUCCGUCCUCCUCCCGGGGGACGGGCCCGAAAGGCAGCGGCGGCACCGCGUCCGGUCCUCGAGCGUAUGGGGCUUCGUCACCCGCUCUUGUAGGUCCGGCCGGCGCUUGCCGACACAUCAAUCUUUUUUCCAGGUUGACCUCGGAUCAGGUAGGGUUACCCGCUGAACUUAAGCAUAUCAAUAAGCGGAGGA
rnacentral:misc_RNA from 1 species